GCCUAGGUGGCUCAGUCGGUUGAGCGUCUGACUUUGACUCAGGUCAUGAUUUCGCGGUUUGUAAAUUCAAGCCCCGCGCA
rnacentral:tRNA from 1 species